rnacentral:rRNA from 1 species
CGCUGACGACCGGCGCACGGGUGCGCAACGCGUAUACAACCUGCCCCCCGCUGGGGAAUAGCCCAGAGAAAUUUGGAUUAACGCCCCAUGGCAACGCCGCACGGCAUCGUGCGGGGUUCAAAGGACACGGCGGGGGAUGGGUAUGCGUCCCAUUAGCUAGUUGGUGCGGUAACGGCGCACCAAGGCGACGAUGGGUAGGGGUCCUGAGAGGGAGAUCCCCCACACUGGUACUGAGACACGGACCAGACUCC